rnacentral:lncRNA from 1 species
CGUACAUGAAAGAAGAAAAACAUAAUUUCUAGCUAAGUUUCAAGGUUAGAAGCAAGCAGCAACAAUCAAUCAACAAAAUCCCUGAAUCUCAGCUCUAAAACCAGAAUUGAUACGCAACAGACCCAAAAGGAACAAUUCCACUCGAGUAAAGCCAACAUAUUCAAAAUCAAACGUUUGAAACCAACACUUGAAUCAUUGUCAAUUCCCAUAAUGAAGCACUAUAUUUUCAGGCAGAAAACUCAGUGAAUUCAAUGAAAUAGUAGAUUUUCACUUUUCUUUUGUAUUUUUUCUGAAAUCUGACUUCUAAUACUCUCUUUUUC